CAUUACGAAGCUUAAAGCGUCAACCUUUUAAGUUGAAGUUAGAGAUAAACAAUCUCCGUAGUGA
rnacentral:tRNA from 1 species